rnacentral:rRNA from 1 species
AGCGAACGCUGGCGGCAUGCCUAACACAUGCAAGUCGCACGGGGGGGCUUCGGCCUCCCAGUGGCGGACGGGUGAGGAACGCGUAGGGACCUGUCGAGGGGUGGGGGAUAACCGCGGGAAACUGCGGCUAAUACCGCAUUACGCCGCGGCGUGACAGCCGGGGCCAAAGGCGAAAGCCGCCCGCCGAGGGGCCUGCGUCCGAUUAGCUGGUUGGCGGGGUAGCGGCCCACCAAGGCGUCGAUCGGUAGCUGGUCUGAGAGGGUGAUCAGCCACACCGGGACUGAGACACGGCCCGGACUCCUACGGGAGGCAGCAGUGGGGAAUAUUGGACAAUGGGCGUAAGCCUGAUCCAGCAAUGCCGCGUGGGUGAAGAAGGUCUUCGGAUUGUAAAGCCCUUUCGGCGGGGACGAUGGUGACGGUACCCGCAGAAGAAGCCCCGGCUAACUUCGUG